rnacentral:lncRNA from 12 species
AUGAUGUUAUCAUCUUUCUGGACUUAAAUAUUUUCAAAAUGUAUUUUUAGGCAGCUACAGUGAAACCAAAGAAACUGAAGGAAAAUACUGAAGCAGCAAGACUAGCACAUAUGGAAUGUAAAUACACUACAGAAGUCAUGCAGUUAAGAAUUCGAGAACUUGAAGAUGCUUUGAAUGAAGAGCAAGGCAGCAGGAGAGAAGCUGUUCCAGUGGUAGCAAAGAAAGAUUUCCGAGAGUCAGAAAAUUCACAUGAGAGAGGGGAAAAAGUGUAAGUUUCCUUCUAAAGCCAUUGUAAAAUGGCUUGAGUGCAGCUCAUAAUUUACAUUCCCUGCAAUUUUUAGUUAGCAGAAAAUCUAGCGCAAUGUGCCAAACCAAAGGUUC